AGUGAACGCUGGCGGUAGGCCUAACACAUGCAAGUCGAACGGCAGCACAGUAAGAGCUUGCUCUUACGGGUGGCGAGUGGCGGACGGGUGAGGAAUACAUCGGAAUCUACUUUUUCGUGGGGGAUAACGUAGGGAAACUUACGCUAAUACCGCAUACGACCUACGGGUGAAAGCAGGGGAUCUUCGGACCUUGCGCGAUUGAAUGAGCCGAUGUCGGAUUAGCUAGUUGGCGGGGUAAAGGCCCACCAAGGCGACGAUCCGUAGCUGGUCUGAGAGGAUGAAGAGGCAGUCUGGCGCUGACGCCGGGCCACGUGAUCAACGGGGGGGAGUAGGGGGGAAUCAGAGACCAGGGUGGCAAGGCUGAAUCAGCCCGGCCGCGUGGGUGAAGCACGACUGUGGUUUGUAAAGCCUUUUUGUGGGAAAAGAAAAGCAGCAGGUUAAUCCCCCGCUGUCCUGACGGCACAAAAAGAAAAAGCACCGGCCAACUUCGCGCCAGCAGCCGCGGUAAUAAUCGGAAGAGCCCACGUCUGAAC
rnacentral:rRNA from 1 species